CAGCAGCCACGGUAAUACGGAGGGUGCAAGCGUUACUCGGAAUCACUGGGCGUAAAGGACGCGUAGGCGGAUUAUCAAGUCUCUUGUGAAAUCUAACGGCUUAACCGUUAAACUGCUUGGGAAACUGAUAAUCUAGAGUAAGGGAGAGGCAGAUGGAAUUCUUGGUGUAGGGGUAAAAUCCGUAGAGAUCAAGAAGAAUACCCAUUGCGAAAGCGAUCUGCUGGAACUUAACUGACGCUAAUGCGUGAAAGCGUGGGGAGCAAACAGGAUUAGAUACCCCCGUAGUCCCUGUCUCUUAUAC
rnacentral:rRNA from 1 species